GAUGAACGCUAGCGGCAGGCUUAAUACAUGCAAGUCGUACGGCAGCACGGGUAGCAAUACCUGGUGGCGAGUGGCGCACGGGUGCGUAACGCGUAUGCAACCUACCCUUAACAGAGACAUAACCUGGCGAAAGCUGGGCUAAUAUCUCAUGAGGUUAUAGAGGGGCAUCCCUAAAUAAUCAAAGCAGCGAUGUGGUUAAGGAUGGGCAUGCGUCCCAUUAGCUAGUUGGUGAGGUAACGGCUCACCAAGGCGACGAUGGGUAGGGGUUCUGAGAGGAAGGUCCCCCACACUGGUACUGAGACACGGACCAGACUCCUACGGGAGGCAGCAGUAAGGAAUAUUGGGCAAUGGUCGGAAGACUGACCCAGCCAUGCCGCGUGCAGGAAGAAGGCCCUAUGGGUUGUAAACUGCUUUAGCCAGGGGCUAAACCUACCGAUGCGUUGGUAGCUGAAGGUACCUGGAGAAUAAGCAUCGGCUAACUCCGUGCCAGCAGCCGCGGUAAUACGGAGGAUGCGAGCGUUAUCCGGAUUUACUGGGUUUAAAGGGUGCGCAGGCGGUUGUUUAAGUCAGGGGUGAAAGCCCUAUGCUCAACAUAGGGAUUGCCUUUGAUACUGAACGGCUAGAGUGAAGAUGGAGUGGGUGGAAUGUGUUGUGUAGCGGUGAAAUGCAUAGAUAUAACACAGAACACCGAUCGCGAAGGCAGCUCACUAAUUUUCAACUGACGCUCAUGCACGAAAGCGUGGGGAUCAAACA
rnacentral:rRNA from 1 species